GUGCGAUGUUCCUGUGACAGCGUGGGCAGACCAUCACCGUCUCUGGAGUGGCGGUUGGAUGGCAAACUGGUGUCGGGUUCUGAAGACGUGUCUGUUAGCCAGGUCAACCUGGACAAUACAACCUCGUGGAGCACCCUAACAAUCAAGGCCUUACCUGGGCCGACAGCCUUGACCUGCCACAGCUCCAACGCUGUUGGGAAAACCAGCCAGAAGCUGCCUGUGUCCCACCUGGACACACAGCCAAACCUGACAGGUGUGACCACAGGGACCCUAUGGCACCACCAGCUGUGAGGAUGAUCAGUCGUUACAAGACUUGGUGCUGUGCAUUGUCAAAUCUGCUGUGAUGUUCGUGGGAUUAGUGUGCGUGGUCGUCUGUAUUAUAAGAACUCGGAAAGUGGGUGAGGAGACGCGGUCCUUUAACGCUGCCACUGUGACGCGAGCCCCCCCAGACGAGGAGGAGUCCCAGGUCGUCUUCAGAAGUGAGGAGGACGACUACGUCAACAGCGGGAUGCAGAUGAACCCGGUUGGGCCGAGAGAGGAGCCUGUUGGACCGAGAGAGGAGGCUGUUCUGAGAGCCGGUUCCCCACUCUCAACGCACCGUGAUGCAGCCUCCUCCCGCCUGAUAGGCCCUGCAGGCUCCCACCCAGGACGACCGGUCUCUAGGGAGCUCACUGAAGAUUAGUGUUGGCUCGUUCGUUCGCGAACCGGUUCGAAUGACCGAGUCUUUAGGACGAACGAACUGAACCGGUUCGGUCGUCUCGUUCACCAUUCGAUUCACCGGAGACUCGACUGAACGAACAAACGAGUUUCCGGUAGCACUAACUCCACUGAACUCCACUCGCAUCAUGGAAUGGACCCCAUUGCACGGUUCUCAGCUGAGUCAGUCAGACUCAGUGGAGUUAGUGCUACCGCAAAAACUCGACUGAACGAACGAACAAACGAACGAUUCUCGAACGACUCCUCGUGGCGAACUGAAUCACGCGAACUGGGUCACGGAAACGAAUCAUUGAAUCCACCACUACUGAAGAUACUCAGUAAACAGUUCAUGAUGACCAAGUAUUUCCUCAGAAUAGAUAUUUUAAAAGUUAGUAUAGCUUUAUAGUUUUACUAUAGAUCAUAAGACUGGUUGCUGCUCCAUGUUUUGCUCAGUUUUUCCUUUCCUUAUUUUUCUUUCUAAGUGGUUACCAACGAAUAUAAAAGGUCAUAUCCCAGUACGGUGUUUAGCCUAGUUGUGAUUAUAUGGCCCUGGUAAACCCUGAGAACAUUCGUCCCUGGUGAUCCCUGGUAACCAAUAGUGUCUCUGGUAACUACUAAUGGCCCUGCUAAACAGUAGAGUCUGUGGUAACCACUUCCCCCCAGGCUAAUGCCUUGUAAACCACUAGUGUCCCUUAUAACCCCUGAAAACAAUGUUUGACCCUGGAAGCCCUUGGUACCAACUAGUGAACCUGGUAAGUACUAUUUCCCUGGUCGCCCCUGGUAACCACCUGUUUCCAUGGUGACUAUUUGCAUCGCUGCUAAGUUGGUAACCAUCAGUGUCGGUUGUGGCCCGCCCAGGGCCGUCGGACUGCGGGGACAAAGGGGACAGUUGUGGGGGGGCCCAAGGCAGAGGGGGGGCCCAUGACCAAAAAAAUAAAUAAAAAUAAAAUAAAAAUAUUUUUCAACAAUCGCCCC
ensembl:lncRNA